GAGAAGACAGCAAAGCACUGUGGCAUGUGAUGUGUGUUUGGGAGGAAGGGGUUGUUACGUGCAUCCCUAAAACACCUGUGUGUAUUUAUGCUUCAUAGAAAGGAACCGUUUUGGGGAGCCCUGCUUUGCCUGGCCCCCACAUUCCUGCUUGACUCAUGAAACAAGGGCUACUUAGCCUCUGAGGGGCACUAAGGAAGAAGUGCCCACCUAAGAAGCUGAUCCUCCAACCAAGAGAGUGAUCUACCUUUACCGGUUGCAUGGGUCCGCAAGUACAUGGGGAAUCCUUCUGCUUCAACAGUCUUCCCCAUUCCUGGCUCAUGGUUCGCCCAAGGCUUCAACCUCUUUUUGUGUAAAAGAGAAGUCCUACCACAUCUCUCUUUUCUGUUUCCAGCUCCUCUGAUUGCCGGGAAGAGAAAUGGGCUGUAAAAAUUCAGUCACUAAACCUUUCCUGAAGCUGGAAUGAUAUGGGCAGCGGUUCUGAGAGCUCUUUGUCCCCAACUCCAGGAGACAUUUGGCAAUGUUGUCUCCAGUCUUGUUUAUCUUCAUCAAGGAUACCCACUAAGUCCAAAAGAUCUUCAUAGUGGCACCAAAACAGCCAUGCUGACGCCCUGUGCAAACUUGCCUGUAACUCAACUCCUGCUGCUUCCCAAGGGCGAGGAGCUCCUUAAGAAUCAUCUGCUAUUAUUGUAGCACGUGGUUGGUGCUUCCUCCCACUCUCGAUUCCCACGGGAUGUAAACAGGCUACAUCACAGUUCUGUAUCUUGAUUCCAGGAUGGAAUGCUGAGAUUAUAGGAGGCUCCGUGGCUUAACCCGUAGAAUGUAGCAGGUGAUCCCCCAGUCAUGUCUAUGGUUUGCCCAGAUUUAACAAUUAACAACAUGAGCCACUGUGGUAAAGCAAAAUCACUUCAUUCAGCCUGUAAAGCUCACAGAAGUGACCUGCAUUUCUACACUUAGUUUUGGGGAACUGGGUUUUGCAAUUGAGGAGCUGCCUACAGUUUGAUAACUAUCAGAACUAAGCCUACAUCAACAUAACUUUACUGUUUGUUGCAGAAAAUUCUUACCCAGUAAAUAACAUCAUUUUUCUCCAGGAGCUCCCUAAACGCUUAUUAUUUCAAACAUUCAAUCAGUCCCUCCUUCUCAAGUCAACAGGUAGUACCUGAGGGUGGACCUUAUUGUUUAACUAAGGAUGAUUUGCUAUAGAAUCCUCACUUUUCUGUGUCCUUUAGUCCCAAGCUAUUAAUUCAUGAGCUUUGCCCACUUGGAAUCCUCCACUGUGACAGGCGUGCCGCAGCACUCCAAACCAGAUAUGAAAUUCUUGCUCCGUAUCUGACUUUGACCUCUUCUAAGAAUCUUCUAAAGGAGUGUUAUCCCUUAUGACAAUAAGUAAUACUCAUCUUUGAUUGAUCAACUGCCCUGAUCUUUUUUGAGAAGACAACAAUCAACAGACACAUAUAGACAAUUCUCUACAGAAGAAAGAAAAUGGAGACCAAUAGUUUCACGGCUUCUGCAAGAGGGUAGAUGAUAACAUGGUCUAGUCAGUUCUCCCCACAUCUUUUGUGCUGUGGUGACCCAAGAUAAACAGCACAGGUCCACCUGACCUACUGCUGCUUGUCCUUUGCUCCUUCUGUCCAUGGGCCAAAGACAGUUGGGCUGAAACCCCAAGACUCUGAAUUUAAAGUCUAUAUAUCUGACCCUUGAAAGAAACCAACUUUAAAACAGCUGUGUCCAUCUAGAACACGUGAAGUAACCUAGAGUAGUCUGCUGUCUAUUAAAUGCCCUACUUACUUUAUCUCUCAAGACCACAUUAAGAGGUACCUUUCUGAGUCAGCCUGCUCCUGUGUCUUCACCCCGCAGCAUGCUCCUGUGCUAUGUGUGCUAUGUGUGUGUGUCACAUCGUGGAAUUAUUCCAGGUUCCCCCGUGGAGGCUUGAGAUCAUGUAUAGCACUGAACCCUGUAUGUACUAAGUUUUUUCCUAGUACAUAUAUAACCUCUGGUUAUGAAGUUUCAUUUCUAAAUCAGAUACAACAAAGAUUACCAGCUAGGGGCUGGGGAUUUAGCUCAGCGGCAAAAGCGCCUGCCUGGCAAGCGCAAGGUCGUGAGUUCAGUUCCUGGUACCGGAGAAAAACCAAAAAAAAAAAAAAAAAAGAUUACCAGCUAAUAAAAUAGGACAACUUUAAUAAAAUGCUACAAAGAUUACCUGAAACUUAUGCUUUUAAAACUUACUUACUUCUGGAAUUUUCCACUUAAUAUUUUUGGAUCAUGGUUGAUCAUGAAUAACUGAAAACACAGAAAAUAAAAAUGGAAAUAAGGGGAGACUAUUGUAUUAGGUCUUUCCCCAUUUACCAUUCAGGCUACAGUCACACAUAUGUGUAAAGACCCCACAGAAGGAAGAAGCCCAUAGCAGGUAGAACCUUGGUGUGCUGAGGCA
rnacentral:lncRNA from 1 species